rnacentral:rRNA from 1 species
AUUGAACGCUGGCGGCAGGCUUAACACAUGCAAGUCGAGCGGGGGAAGGUAGCUUGCUACCGGACCUAGCGGCGGACGGGUGAGUAAUGCUUAGGAAUCUGCCUAUUAGUGGGGGACAACAUCUCGAAAGGGAUGCUAAUACCGCAUACGUCCUACGGGAGCAAGCAGGGGAUCUUCGGACCUCGCGCUAAUAGAUGAGCCUAAGUCGGAUUAGCCAGUUGGUGGGGUAAAGGCCUACCAAGGCGACGAUCUGUAGCGGGUCUGAGAGGAUGAUCCGCCACACUGGGACUGAGACACGGCCCAGACUCCUACGGGAGGCAGCAGUGGGGAAUAUUGGACAAUGGGGGGAACCCUGAUCCAGCCAUGCCGCGUGUGUGAAGAAGGCCUUAUGGUUGUAAAGCACUUUAAGCGAGGAGGAGGCUACUCUAGUUAAUACCUAGGGAUAGUGGACGUUACUCGCAGAAUAAGCACCGGCUAACUCUGUGCCAGCAGCCGCGGUAAUAC